AUUGAACGCUGGCGGCAUGCCUUACACAUGCAAGUCGAACGGUAACAGGUUAAGCUGACGAGUGGCGAACGGGUGAGUAAUGUAUCGGAACGUGCCCAGUCGUGGGGGAUAACUACUCGAAAGAGUGGCUAAUACCGCAUACGACCUGAGGGUGAAAGCGGGGGACCGUAAGGUCUCGCGCGAUUGGAGCGGCCGAUAUCAGAUUAGCUAGUUGGUGGGGUAAAAGCCCACCAAGGCGACGAUCUGUAGCUGGUCUGAGAGGACGACCAGCCACACUGGGACUGAGACACGGCCAGACUCCUACGGGAGGCAGCAGUGGGGAAUUUUGGACAAUGGACGCAAGUCUGAUCCAGCCAUGCCGCGUGCGGGAAGAAGGCCUUCGGGUUGUAAACCGCUUUUGUCAGGGAAGAAACGAGUUUCUCUAAUACAGAGACUUAAUGACGGUACCUGAAGAAUAAGCACCGGCUAACUACGUGCCAGCCGCCGCCGUAAUAC
rnacentral:rRNA from 1 species